CGCGUAGGCGGUGAUCUUUGUCAGAGGUGAAAGCCCGGGGCUCAACUCCGGAAUUGCCUUUGAAACGGGAUCGCUAGAGUCCGAGAGAGGAUGGCGGAAUUCCUAGUGUAGAGGUGAAAUUCGUAGAUAUUAGGAAGAACACCGGUGGCGAAGGCGGCCAUCUGGCUCGGUACUGACGCUCAGGCGCGAAAGCGUGGGGAGCAAACAGGAUUAGAUACCCUGGUAGUCCACGCCGUAAACGAUGGGUGCUAGUUGUUAGGAAGUUUACUUCUUAGUGACGUAGCUAACGCGUUAAGCACCCCGCCUGGGGAGUACGGUCGCAAGAUUAAA
rnacentral:rRNA from 1 species